GUUACUCCUUUUAUUGUUAAUUGUGAAUCUUUUCAUCCAGCCUAUAAAUCUUAAGCUUCUUUCCUAUAUAUUAAAGGACCUUUUAUGAGCUGAUUUCCCAUGUAAUUUUGUAAGCUACGGUCGUUCUUGAGGUCAUACAUCAAUUGUACUGAUACUAUCUACUGUUGGUGCAAUCAUUCUCAUAUGAAAUAUUGUUACUGGUAGAUACUCUGUUUUCAGUUCAAUCCUAAUUUUAAGUGCCUGCAAGUUCUUGCACCCUCCGUGCUGCUUUGAGGUUUGAUUCACAUUCCCUUUUGUGGUUGUAAAAUACUGGAAUUUCUUUGAUAUACUAUCAGUUUAUCACCAAUUUCCAUGAUGUAAAGUAAAGUUGGUGUUGAAGAGUAAAAGGUAUUGAAGAUAUAUACAGGGGUGCAUAUCUGAGUCUUUACAGAAGAACUGUUCACUACUACAUCCGAUUCUAAAUAUAAGCUUUUUUGGGCUACAUACUGAUGUAUACAGACAUAUUUUAGAGUGUAGAUUCACUCAUUUUGCUCCGUAUGAAGUCUGUAUUGGAAACUCUAAAAAGGCUUAUAUUUAGGAACGGAGGGAGUAGAUCCCUAGAGGAAGGUGAUGGCUAUAGCAACUCUGUUUUUCUUUUUCUUUUGAAAAGAGACAAUUCUUUGUUGUUGACAGACAUACUGGAAUACUUCAAAUCAUGUUACAUACGUAGAAGUUUGCUAUUCAUGUAAGGAGGUUUGUUACAAUUAAAAAAAAAUGACACAUCUUUACAAGAUAUUUAUGGCAGGAAAUAUUAAAUUCAAUCUUUGCUAAAAUCGAUGAAUUCAUAAGCAAUUUAUCAUGUACCACUUUCUAAAUAUGGCGCCAUCAGACUUCCAUGCUGUCCAGUGCUAGAAGGGUCAUAGUGUGACGAGUUCUCAAGCAAAAAUUCAGUUUCCCUGCUAUGAUUCUGAAUCAAUUGUACUCUCCAGGUGCUUUGUAUUGAUCUCAACUUCUCAGCAACUUCUCUCAUUAACCCCCCCCCCCCCCCCCCCUCUCCACAUACUCAAGCAACACUUUAAGGAAGGAGGAUGCAAGGUUUUUCUUUUCUCCAGCAGUCAGAAUAAAUUGCGAACUUCAUUGUAAUGAGCUCUAGGAGCACAACUCCAAAACUGUGAUUGAGCCAGGAAGGUUCUUGUUGACCCAAGGUCAAGACAGCGAACGGUGCAUGAAAGGAAGUUUCCCUGAUGUGACAUGUUGUAUCUGCA